rnacentral:lncRNA from 1 species
UUACUUUCUCUUAUCAUAGUUCAUGUACAUAAACACCAAACCCAAAUUCAUGUUAACCACAUGACUAGCCCAUGAUUUACCAGAUAUUACAAGCCAAACAUAAAACCAAACAGAUAAUAAAGUAGAAUGUGACAAAGAGACCAAACUAACUAUAGGAAUUGAUGAUUUGUAAGAGGUAGAAUUCAAUAAACUGAUAUAUUUUACAUUUCAACUCAAUCAGACACAUUGUGUUCCUCCAUUUCACAUGUCAAAGAGGUAAAAAUAUCUGGAAAUGACAAAGGAAAUAAAGAACUGAAGAAUCAGUGGACAACAGCAAGCAAAAUAGAGCCCAGACUCGGUCAAUAAAACAGUAAAAACCAGCUCAAAAAACAGUCGAUGUGGAGGAACCACAAAUCAACACCCCAACUUCAAACCAAACUCAAACCAUUUUCUCAAACCCAACAGUAUAACUAUGGAGCUUUUUCAAGAGUUUUAGCUAAAAGAAUCAGAAAUCCAAAAAAAAAAACAAGCCACAUUUUGAGCAGUUUUCCACCAAGAACUGCAGAAAAUCAGUAUUCUUUUUAGAGUCAGCCGUUCAGUUUUUUCAGGUUAUUUUAUCUCUAAUUUUUGACUUCAGUUUCAAGUAUAAAUGCCUUUAUAGGCAAGGUUUUAGGGUUGCAGAAACAAGCUCUAUUUUGCACUUAAAACCUCUUGCAAUUUUGGUUGCUCAGGUACCCUCACUUAAAGAAUCAAAUUUUCAGUUAAGCUCCAACGACACCUUCCUAGCAACUUCCUAAUUCAGUUACUGAGAUUUCCCCUAUCUAGAGUUCCUAAAUUACCCCUUUAAGCCUUGUUAAUUACUUCAAAGACCAGACACAUAUGGGUCAAAAGUCAGACUGACCCAAUGAUUUAAUUCAAAAAUCCAGGCUUGCAAGACUAGAUUGAAUCUCUUUUCCGGGCUUCUGAAUUUAAAGCCCGCAUGGAAUCAUUGGGCUAGGAAAAAUUUCCCAAGAGAAAAAUUGAAUUUCUUUUCUUUGAAAACCAGAAAAUGAAAUAACACAAAGACGCAGAGAAAUUAACACGACAUGCAUGAAGAAAACUCGUUUUAAAACAUACAAACAGAUUAAUUUAAAACGAAAACAAAACGGAAAAGAUGAAGUAAAAGGAGAUGGUAAUAGAACUUAAAAAAAACAAAAUAUGGAACAGAAGAAAAAUGACAGAAAGGAAAAGGACUGAAAAUACCUAAACCAAGUGGAAAAAGCCUUGAAAAUAUUCAAAGAAAACUCCGAUUUUUGAACGAAAUAGGCCCUAAUCGUGUGUUCUCAAACGAAAACACACGAAUAAAGCCAAUUUCGGCCUUAAACCUUCGUUAAACUCACUGAUUUGGGUUUUGGGAUUUCAGAGUUCCACAUUCGAUCUAAGAUUUGAGAAGUUCUUGUAAGAUUCGAGGGAAAUGGUGCGUGGAUUUGGAAUGAGGGGAUGAAGGGGGUGAUAUGGUGUAAAUCUGGGCCAAUUUGGUGGUGGCGCCACCACCGGAGGAUGGUGGAAUCGUGGGGUGGCUUCUAAGGUUUUCUAUUUGUUCUCUGAAGAAGGUGAAGGGUUGAGAGAGACGAGUG